CAGGGAAUCUUGCGCAAUGGGCGAAAGCCUGACGCAGCGACGCCGCGUGAGGGACGAAGGCCUUCGGGUCGUAAACCUCUUUUCUGGGGGAAGAGUAAGGACGGUACCCCAGGAAUAAGCCUCGGCUAACUACGUGCCAGCAGCCGCGGUAAUACGUAGGAGGCGAGCGUUGUCCGGAUUUACUGGGCGUAAAGGGCGUGUAGGCGGUCCGGGAAGUCUUUGGUGAAAUCUCUCGGCUCAACCGGGAGGGGUCCAGAGAUACUCUCGGACUAGAGGGCAGUAGAGGAGAGUGGAAUUCCCGGUGUAGUGGUGAAAUGCGUAGAUAUCGGGAGGAACACCAGUGGCGAAAGCGGCUCUCUGGGCUGUCCCUGACGCUGAAGCGCGAAAGCGUGGGUAGCAAACCGG
rnacentral:rRNA from 1 species